GUAAGAAUACUCAGUUUAGGAUUGGAACCCUAAAGCUGGCCGAAUGGAAAUAGUUCAGAUCAGGGUUGGAGCCCUAAUGCUGACUAGCUGGGGAGAAGCUCAAUUUAGAGUUGAAACUCUAAUGUUGACCAACUGGGGAAAAGUUCAGUUUAGGGUUGGGGCCUUAAUGCUGACUAAAGGGAAGAGUUCAGUUUAGGGUUUAAAACCCUAAUGCUGACUAAAUGGAAAAGGUUUAGUUUAGGGUUUGAAACCCUAAUGCUGACUAAAGGGAAAAGUUCAGUUUAGGGUUUAAAACCCUAAUGCUGACUAAAGGAAAAAGUUCAGUUUAGGGUUUAAAACCCUAAUGCUGAUUAAAGGGAAAAGUUCAGUUUAGGGUUUAAAACCCUAAUCCUGAUUAAAGGGAAAAAUUCAGUUUAGGGUUUAAAACCCUAAUCCUGAUUAAAGGGAAAAGUUCAGUUUAGGGUUUAAAACCCUAAUGCUGACUGAAGGAAAGAGUUGUCGGGUUAUGCCGGGGG
rnacentral:lncRNA from 1 species